rnacentral:rRNA from 1 species
UACGGAGGGUGCAAGCGUUGCUCGGAAUUAUUGGGCGUUAAGGGUAGGUAGGUGGUCUCAUUUGUCAGGGGUGAAAGCCUUGGGCUUAACCCAAGAAGUGCCCCUGAAACGGUGAGACUAGAGUCCUGGAGAGGGUCGUGGAAUUCCCGGUGUAGCGGUGAAAUGCGUAGAGAUCGGGAGGAACACCAGAGGCGCAAGCGGCGGCCUGGACAGGAACUGACACUCAACUACGAAAGCGUGGGGAGCAAACAGG